GACGAACGCUGGCGGCGUGCUUAACACAUGCAAGUCGAACGGAAAGGCCCUGCUUUUGUGGGGUGCUCGAGUGGCGAACGGGUGAGUAACACGCGAGUAACCUGUCCUUGUCUUUGGGAUAACUUUAGGAAACUGGGGCUAAUACCGGAUAGGAGCUCCUGCUGCAUGGUGGGGGUUGGAAAGUUUCGGCGGUGGGGGCUGGACUCGCGGCUUAUCAGCUUGUUGGUGGGGUAGUGGCUGACCAAGGCUUUGACGGGUAGCCGGCCUGAGAGGGUGACCGGCCACAUUGGGACUGAGAUACGGCCCAGACUCCUACGGGAGGCAGCAGUGGAGAAUAUUGCACAAUGGGCGGAAGCCUGAUGCAGCAACGCCGCGUGCGGGAUGACGGCCUUCGGGUUGUAAACCGCUUUCGCCUGUGACGAAGCGUGAGUGACGGUAAUGGGUAAAGAAGCACCGGCUAACUACGUG
rnacentral:rRNA from 1 species